GAGGGUAUAGCUCAGUGGAAAAGCACGUGCUUAGCAUGCACAAGGUACUGGGGAUUGAACCCAGUACCUCCA
rnacentral:tRNA from 1 species